rnacentral:rRNA from 1 species
AGUAGUAGUACUAGUGGCACGAGGACGAACGCUGGCGGCAUGCCUAACACAUGCAAGUCGAACGGAUUUUUAAAGGAAGUCCUCGGGAAUGGAAUUAAAAAGUAGUGGCGGACGGGUGAGUAACGCGUGGAUAACCUGCCCAUAGGUUGGGGACAACUCCGGGAAACCGGAGCUAAUACCGAAUAACAUUUAUUGAACGCAUGUUUAAUAAAUCAAAGAAGGCCUCUCGAAGAAGCUUUUGCCAAUGGAUGGAUCCGCGUCUGAUUAGCUAGUUGGUAAGGUAACGGCUUACCAAGGCGACGAUCAGUAGCCGGCCUGAGAGGGUGAACGGCCACACUGGGACUGAGACACGGCCCAGACUCCUACGGGAGGCAGCAGUGGGGAAUCUUCCGCAAUGGGCGAAAGCCUGACGGAGCAAUGCCGCGUGAAUGAAGAAGGCCUUCGGGUUGUAAAGUUCUGUUGAGAAGGAAGAAAGGUAUUAGAGCUAAUACCUCUAGUAUUUGACGGUACUUUUUGAGGAAGCCCCGGCUAACUACGUGCCAGCAGCCGC